AGGGUUGUAAAUCAGUGGUAGAGUACUCAUCUAGCACAUGUGAGGCACUGGGUUCAAUCCCCAGCAUCACAG
rnacentral:tRNA from 1 species